GCAUAUCAAUAAGCGGAGGAAAAGAAACCAACAGGGAUUGCCCCAGUAACGGCGAGUGAAGCGGCAACAGCUCAAAUUUGAAAUCUGGCCCCUAGGGUCCGAGUUGUAAUUUGUAGAGGAUGCUUUUGGUGAGGUGCCGCCCGAGUUCCCUGGAACGGGACGCCACAGAGGGUGAGAGCCCCGUCUGGCUGGCCACCGAGCCUCUGUAAAGCUCCUUCGACGAGUCGAGUAGUUUGGGAAUGCUGCUCAAAAUGGGAGGUAUAUGUCUUCUAAAGCUAAAUAUUGGCCAGAGACCGAUAGCGCACAAGUAGAGUGAUCGAAAGAUGAAAAGCACCUUGAAAAGAGGGUUAAACAGUACGUGAAAUUGUUGAAAGGGAAGCGCUUGUGACCAGACUUGGGCGCGGCGAAUCAUCCGGGGUUCUCUCCGGUGCACUUCGCCGUGUUCAGGCCAGCAUCAGUUCGGCGCGGGGGAAAAAGGCUUCGGGAACGUGGCUGCUCCGGCAGUGUUAUAGCCCGUUGCAUAAUACCCUGCGCUGGACUGAGGACCGCGCAUCUGCAAGGAUGCUGGCGUAAUGGUCACCAGCGACCCGUCUUGAAACACGGACC
rnacentral:rRNA from 2 species